UACAGAGGUCCCAAGCGUUGUUCGGAUUCACUGGGCGUAGAGGGUGCGUAGGCGGUCGGGUAAGUCUGAUGUGAAAUCUCACAGCUUAACUGUGAAACUGCAUUGGAUACUAUUCGGCUAGAGAGUUGGAGGGGGGACUGGAAUUCUUGGUGUAGCAGUGAAAUGCGUAGAUAUCAAGAGGAACACCAGUGGCGAAGGCGAGUCCCUGGACAACUUCUGACGCUGAGGCACGAAAGCUAGGGGAGCAAACAGG
rnacentral:rRNA from 1 species